rnacentral:pre_miRNA from 1 species
GUUGAUUUCGAUUAAACAGAUUGCUUGUUCCUCUCCCUCAAAGGCUUCCAACAACAGGUACUUGGUCUUGUUUUCACCAGCAAAGCUAAGGCCCGUCCCAGAUGUUAGAAGCCUCUGGGGGUGACGAAGCAGCAGCUGUAUGGGUGGUUCCCAU